rnacentral:rRNA from 1 species
GCUGUGGAUAGGGGUGAAAGGCUAAACAAAAUCCGGAAAUAGCUGGUUCUCCCCGAAAAACUAUUUAGGUAGUGCGUCGUACGGACACUUGCGGGGGUAGAGCACUGUAAUCGUUGGGGGGGUCAUUGCGAUCUACCCCGCGAUAGCAAACUCCGAAUACCGCAAAAGUGAUAUACGGCAGACAGACAUCGGGUGCUAACGUCCGGUGUCAAGAGGGAAACAACCCAGACCGCCAGCUAAGGUCCCAAAUGCAUGGCUAAGUGGCAAACGAGGUGGGAAGGCAUAGACAGCUAGGAGGUUGGCUUAGAAGCAGCCAUCCUUUAAAGAAAGCGUAAUAGCUCACUAGUCGAGUCGUCCUGCGCGGAAGAUGUAACGGGGCUCAAGCCAUGAACCGAAGCUGCGGAUGUGUCUUUGACACGUGGUAGGGGAGCGUUCCGUAAGCCUGCGAAGGUGUCUCGUAAGGGAGUGCUGGAGGUAUCGGAAGUGCGAAUGC